rnacentral:rRNA from 1 species
AUUAGCUAGUUGGUGAGGUAACGGCCCACCAAAGCAACGAUGGGUAGCCGGCCUGAGAGGGUGACCGGCCACACUGGAACUGAGAUACGGUCCAGACUCCCACGGGAGGCAGCAGUGGGGAAUCUUCCGCAAUGGGGGAAACCCUGACCCAGCAACGCCGCGUGAAGGACGAAGGCCUUCGGGUUGUAAACUUCUUUGAUCAGGGACGAAACAAAUGACGGUACCUGAAGAACAAGCCACGGCUAACUACGUGCCAGCAGCCGCGGUAAUACGUAGGUGGCGAGCGUUAUCCGGAUUUACUGGGUGUAAAGGGCGUGUAGGCGGGUCAGCAAGUCGGGUGUGAAAUUUCCGGGCUUAACCCGGACAGGUCAUCCGAAACUGCAGAUCUUGAGUGCUGGAGAGGAUAGUGGAAUUCCUAGUGUAGCGGUGAAAUGCGUAGAUAUUAGGAGGAACACCAGUGGCGAAGGCGACUUUCUGGACUGUAACUGACGCUGAGGCACGAAAGCGUGGGGAGCAAACAGGAUUAGAUACCCUGGUAGUCCACGCCGUAAACGAUGAGUGCUAGGUGUCGGGGGUAUCGACCCCCUCGGUGCCACAGCUAACGCAAUAAGCACUCCGCCUGGGGAGUACGGUCGCAAGACUGAAACUCAAAGGAAUUGACGGGGGCCCGCACAAGCGGUGGAGUAUGUGGUUUAAUUCGACGCAACGCGAAGAACCUUACCAAGGCUUGACAUCCCGUGACAGCCAUGGAAACAUGGUCUUGCAAGUUUACUUGCACACGGAGACAGGUGGUGCAUGGUUGUCGUCAGCUCGGUGAGAUGUUGGGUUAAGUCCCGCAACGAGCGCAACCCCUACAGCUAGUUGCCAGCACAUAAAGGUGGGAACUCUAGCAGAACUGCCGGUGUCAAACCGGAGGAAGGUGGGGAUGACGUCAAGUCCUCAUGGCCUUUAUGACCAGGGCUACACACGUACUACAAUGGCAUAAACAAAGGGCAGCAACAUCGCGAGGUGAAGCGAAUCCCAAAAUUAUGUCUCAGUCCGGAUUGGAGUCUGCAACUCGACUCCAUGAAGUUGGAAUCGCUAGUAAUCGCGGAUCAGCACGCCGCGGUGAAUACGUUCCCGGGCC